rnacentral:lncRNA from 1 species
AGUCGCUUAGCGAAGGCUGUCCCGCGGCGGGCGCAGGCGCGGGUGGCGGGGUGUGCUUGGGCGGGAAGUGGGUGGUGAGGGCCGCUCUGGGCUCAGCGUUCCCCACCUGGAAUGCGUCCUGGCUUCGGCUGGCCCGGCCCAACCCUCAGCGGCCGCGGUGCCCAGGCCCACUCCUUCCGCGCCUGGAAACGUGAGACGGGUCACUGAGGACGACGUAGGCAAACUUUGCAGAGCACGUUGCCACCUGUUGGAGUAGCCGCUCCAGCCCCAGUCGAAAUGCACGGCCGAACAAUGGCAGUUCUGAGUGGCUCAGGGGCCCACACUUUCUUUAAAACCGAUGCACUCGUAGUAAUAUUUCUUAUGCCCCACAUCCAGAGGCCUGUGCUCACCACCUCAGCAGUGCCCGGGGAGGUUCGCCAGGCGUGGGCAGGCUCUCCCUUGAAAGCACCUGACCUGGUUCUACCUUGCACUGGGGCUGAAUGGUAAUUAAUUUUUUUAUUUGUGUUUUUGAGAUAAGGUCUCUCUGGCCGACCUGGAACUCCCUAAAACCAUGCUGGUUUACAUAC